rnacentral:rRNA from 1 species
AGAGUUUGAUCAUGGCUCAGAAUCAACGCUGGCGGCGCGCUUAACACAUGCAAGUCGCACGAGAAAGCGGGAGCAAUCUCGCAAGUACAGUGGCGUACGGGUGAGUAACACGUGGGUAAUCUACCUUUUAGUGGGGAAUAACGCUGGGAAACCGGCGCUAAUACCGCAUAAUCUCGAGAGAGGAAAGCAGCAAUGCGCUGAAAGAGGAGCCCGCGGCCGAUUAGCUAGUUGGUAGGGUAAAAGCCUACCAAGGCAUAGAUCGGUAGCCGGCCUGAGAGGGCACACGGCCACACUGGCACUGAAACACGGGCCAGACUCCUACGGGAGGCAGCAGUGGGGAAUCUUGCACAAUGGGGGCAACCCUGAUGCAGCGACGCCGCGUGAGCGAUGAAGCCCUUCGGGGUGUAAAGCUCUUUCGGCAGGGACGAUAAUGACGGUACCUGCAGAAGCAGCUGCGGCUAACUACGUGCCAGCAGCCGCGGUAAUACGUAGGCAGCGAGCGUUGUUCGGAGUUACUGGGCGUAAAGGGUGUGUAGGCGGUUUUCUAAGUUUGGUGUGAAAUCUCCCGGCUCAACCGGGAGGGUGCGCCGAAAACUGGGAGACUAGAGUGCGGGAUGGGAGAGUAGAAUUCCUGGUGUAGCGGUGAAAUGCGUAGAUAUCAGGAGGAAUACCGGUGGUGUAGACGGCUCUCUGGACCGCCACUGACGCUGAGACACGAAAGCGUGGGUAGCAAACAGGAUUAGAUACCCUAGUAGUCC